rnacentral:rRNA from 1 species
UGGGGAAUAUUGCACAAUGGGCGCAAGCCUGAUGCAGCCAUGCCGCGUGUGUGAAGAAGGCCUUCGGGUUGUAAAGCACUUUCAGCGGGGAGGAAGGCGAUAAGGUUAAUAACCUUGUCGAUUGACGUUACCCGCAGAAGAAGCACCGGCUAACUCCGUGCCAGCAGCCGCGGUAAUACGGAGGGUGCAAGCGUUAAUCGGAAUUACUGGGCGUAAAGCGCACGCAGGCGGUUUGUUAAGUCAGAUGUGAAAUCCUCGGGCUCAACCUGGGAACUGCAUCUGAUACUGGCAAGCUUGAGUCUCGUAGAGGGGGGUAGAAUUCCAGGUGUAGCGAUGAAAUGCGUAGAGAUCUGGAGGAAUACCGGUGGCGAAGGCGGCCCCCUGGACGAAGACUGACGCUCAGGUGCGAAAGCGUGGGGAGCAAACAGG